UGUACCAAUCAUAUAAUUUAUCUAGAACAUUAUUUUUGAUCACAUUGUGAAUAGACAAUGUCUACUCCUACUAAAAUUACUUUUACUGCUGGAAGAAAAAUGUGUGAAUGUCCUAUGUGUGCAUUGAAGAGAGAGUUAGGAGGCUACGAUCGUUCAACUACUGAUGGAAGAGUUUAUAACCUACCAGAAUAUGAAGCAAAUGUAACACCAUCAGCAAUACAGAAACCAAAUCAAAAUGUGAUCAUAGUAUCAAAAUCUAACCUAAAGCCUAGUGAUAACACCAAGGUUACGCCACAGGCAAAUACUCAAUCGCCAAACAGCUCCAAUACAGUUAACACCCCAAAAAUACCUGAAUCCAAAGUACCGGAAUCAAAAACUGUGUUACCAACAAAUUUACCUCUAGAAAACCAGAAGCCAAAUGAUGUCACCAAAGUGACGUCAGAGGCAAAUCCUCAGUCACCAAACAGCACCAGUACAGUUAACAGCUCAAAAAUAUCUGAAUCCAAAGCACCGGAAUCAAAAACUGUGUUACCAACAAAUUUACCUCUAGAAAACCAGAAGCCAAAUGAUGUCACCAAAGUGACGUCAGAGGCAAAUCCUCAGUCGCCAAACAGCUCCAAUACAGUUAACAGCCGAAAAAUACCUGAAUCCAAAGUACCAGAAUCAACAAAUGUCUUGCCAACAGCUGUAAAUCAAAUAGAACAACAAACCAAUGUUAAAUCUGAGUUAAGACCCAGUACGGUUAACUCAGCAACGACAGAAUCAAAAAAUGAAAUAUUACAAUCAAGGACAUUCUCACAACUAAAAACAAUAAAUAGUCAGGAAGAUAGAACGAACACAAGACCAUUAAACAGACAUGCAAAAACAUACGAAUUAGAGAACUUUGAGAAGAAAUUAUUGAUAAUUAUCAACCAAUAUGAAAUAAUUGGGUACAAGGAACCUCGUUGGGGUACAGAAAACGAUGUCAUCGCUUUAACACACACGUUUACGAAAUUCGGAUUCGAUAUUGAAUUACAUGAAGAUGAGACGGUGUCGGAAGUGUCCACUUUGCUGGGAACCUUCGACGAUCGUAAUUUCUCGGAAUAUGGUUGUGUGGCAAUUGUAGUCCUUACUCAUGGGAUAAAGGGUGGCUAUUUACACGCCAAGGACGGCCUUUACCACGAAUACGUUCUAUUAAAUGCAUUUAAAACGCAAGACAGACCUUCCUUGGUGACAAAACCAAAGCUCCUAAUUAUUCAGGCUUGCCGUGGUGAACAGUCUGUUGAGGGUGUCAACGUUGGCACCCCAAGUACUACUAAAAGAGACGCGGCCUGCUUUGAACCAUAUCUAUUACCAUGUGAAUCGGACAUUUAUGUCCUCCACAGUUCUUACGAGGGAAAACCUUCGCACAGGGACAUAUUAGACGGUUCUUGGCUAAUUCAGACAUUGUGUAAAAAGAUAAAUGAAUUAGCGCCAACCCACGACUUGGCGAGUAUAGUCACUGAGGUGAAGCAAGAAGUGGCAAUCGACUUGUGCUUUGAAGAAUAUAACACGGAAACAUUAGAAGUGGAGACGAACACACAAGUGCCUGUGGACACGUCAACGCUUAUUCGGAAGUUAUAUUUUCGGAAAUAUGGUGAUGCACCGAUUUCUGGGAUACCGACUACUCCUGAUAUGAAAGUGGAAAAAUGUUCAUGCUUUAAGGACUAUUUCACAUACAUUAGGGCAUGUUUGCGGUUGCAUUUAAAACAAAAUCCUGGUGAUGCCAUUACGGAGUACUUCAUCACAGCAUCAGAAUCGUUGGAAAGCCGUUCGGAUACGAGUGAUAAAGAAAAAAUUACGAAGGCUAUUGUCAAUUAUUUAAGUUUGAACAGCAAACAAAGCUUAUUCUACAAAAGUAUUCAUUUUAAAAAUUAAUUGUAGUAAUGUAAUGAUUGAUAUUGUAUCAGCAUUUGAUAGACUUGCUGAUCACGACUGUCAAUAAUUGUAAUUCGAUCAAUACUGGAAAAAAACUUGUGCCUGAAGUCGAAGCUCUGGUGCGUGGAUUCUCGGACUGGGUUCGACUAAAUCUAGUCCAAUUAACUGUGUCAUCUUGGGUAUCUUAUGGUUAGCCAAGAAGACACUAGUUUAUGCGUGAUUGUGUAAAUUAGUUUAAAUAGAAAAUUAUUCCUUGAACUAAAUUAACUAUCCGACUGUAGUAAUGCCAAAUGCACUCUCAGUAAUUUGAUCUCAUAAUUAUUUUACCGAUCAGGAACUUUGCCAUCUUCUCGUCGAGUAUUUGCUGUACUGUUUACACAUAAAUUUCCAUCCAUGUGGAACGGCAUGCCUUAAACCCUAAAAUUGUGGGUUGGUUGAUCACCUACGUGCCUAUCAGAACUGCUUACGCAAUAAAUUUAUUUAUAAUUAAUAAUUUAACUACUUCGGUUAUGUUUUCUUAUGAAUUCAUUGGUCAGCUUACAGGAGUUUAAAGACUACCAUAGCUAAUACUAAUUUACUAAGAGAAGACGAGAAAAAGAUGAAGCAACAUAUAGAAAUGUGUUUUUUAUUUAUUAACACUUCGUUGCAUUACAAUAUAAAAAUUGAACAUAGUUAAAUGAAAGAAGGCCAACUGGCGGACUUAUCGCUUUCAAGCGAUCUCAUCCAGGAUUAUAUUAUAGGUUGUAGCGCUUUUUCUAUUUUUCUCGAGACCCCACUAAAUCCAAAAGAAUCUUAUAUUUAUUCAGUAACUCCACCCAGUAAUUUAUUUAUUUUUCAUAUAUUACUUCAGCCUAAAGCUUUUCUCGGUAAAAAUGCAAAUAUUAUGCUUUUGUUAGACAUAAUAUCGCGAAUGUUUUUAAAGUAGUUAUUGAUUGUAUACAAUAAUACGAGUACCUACGAGUAGCUUUGUAUGUUGCGCUUUAGAGAGCGCCCAAGUUGGAGAACGAUGUUAGUACACAAGUAUUGACAAAUUUCCUUUUAAUGAGCAUGCUCGUUUUUUUAUUUUUCAUGACAUUGAGACGCCUAAGACUAAAAAAUUUAUCAGUUUACAAAAUACACUUUCAAGAUCGCACAUGUAUAUAAAAAUAGAUUUUAAAAAAAGGACACGAUUAUUUUAAUGAACUUCAAUGUGAAUCACAAUUAUUUGGGACUUUUGGAUUGCCAAGUGUAAAUUUGUUAAUCUUUCAAACAGCUCCAACUUUUGUUAUCGUUCUUUAUGACUUGUAUAGUACCUUAAGUAUGAUGAAGGCGUAUGGCUUUGGACCGCUUAAAAGUUAAAAAAAAAACUGAUAAUAUUAUGAAUGAUGUAAAUGAUAGUGUUAAUUUAAAGGAGGCAAACAAAACCGAAAGAGCGGGUCUCGGGAGGAAUUGCGCCCCGGCUCGCCCAGGAUUAUCGUAAAUAAAAAUAUUACCGAUGCAUCCGGGGCGUAUUUCGCGACACCUGCCAUUCGCGAACUAAUACAAUUAAUUAAAUGUAUAUUGUUUUUAUUUUUGGAAAAAAUGUGAUAUAAAAAGUCCCUGGACAAUAUGGCAGUAGAGGGUUAUAAAUUAAUAAAAGAAAAAAAAAUGAUAUUGUGACUUUUAAGGUGGAGCCGUGAUUCGACAAAUUUACCAAUAAUACUCUGUGUUAAAAGAACUACGAUUCAGUGGUAUAUUCUUUUCUCGCCCAGUAAGAACUAAGAGCGCCGCUAUCAUGGAUACUGGUAUUGUUAGUAAAUAUAAGGAAUAAUUUGAAGUCAGGCAGGCGCACUUAAUAAUUGAAGAAGUCGUAAUAAAACAAACUAGUAUCUAGAAAAUACAGUUCUAAGCCUAAAUGUGACAGAAACUUAGGAAGAAGUGUGUUCUGAGCGUUGGCAAGCUUUUAUAAACAAAUAAAUUUGAGACUCUCUUACUGUGGGAUGUGAGUGCAAAGGCGCUGAUGGGAGCGUGAAAUGUAAAUUUAUUUUUAUAAUACAAAUUGUUAUCAUACUCAUAUAUGUCGUCAAUUUUAAUUGUA